GACGAACGCUGGCGGCGUGCUUAACACAUGCAAGUCGAACGGUAAGGCUCUGCUUUUGUGGCGUGCUCGAGUGGCGAACGGGUGAGUAUCACGUGAGUAACCUGUCCUUGACUUUGGGAUACCUUCUGUAAACUGGGGCUCAUAUCGGAUAUGAGCUCCUGCUGCAUGGUGGGUGUUGGAAAGUUUCGGAGUUUCGUCAUGCACUCGCGGCUUAUCAUUUUGUUGGUGAGGUAGUGGAUUACCAAGGCUUCGACGAGUAGCCGGACUGGGAGGGUGACCGGCCACAUUGGGACUGAGAUACGACCAGUACGCAUACGGGAGGCAGCGAUGAGGGAUAGUGCACAAAGGGCGGAAGCAUGAAGCAGGAACGCCGCAUGCUGGAAGACGGCCUGCGGGUUGUAAACCGCGUGCGCGUGUAACGAAGCGUGAGUGACGGUAAUGAGUAAAGAAGCACCGGCUAACUACGUG
rnacentral:rRNA from 1 species